rnacentral:rRNA from 1 species
CUCCUCUGACGUUAGCGGUGGACGGGUGAGUAACACGUGGAUAACCUACCUAUAAGACUGGGAUAACUUCGGGAAACCGGAGCUAAUACCGGAUAACAUGUUGAACCGCAUGGUUCAACAGUGAAAGACGGUCUUGCUGUCACUUAUAGAUGGAUCCGCGCCGCAUUAGCUAGUUGGUAAGGUAACGGCUUACCAAGGCAACGAUGCGUAGCCGACCUGAGAGGGUGAUCGGCCACACUGGAACUGAGACACGGUCCAGACUCCUACGGGAGGCAGCAGUAGGGAAUCUUCCGCAAUGGGCGAAAGCCUGACGGAGCAACGCCGCGUGAGUGAAGAAGGUCUUCGGAUCGUAAAACUCUGUUAUUAGGGAAGAACAAAUGUGUAAGUAACUAUGCACGUCUUGACGGUACCUAAUCAGAAAGCCACGGCUAACUACGUGCCAGCAGCCGCGGUAAUACGUAGGUGGCAAGCGUUAUCCGGAAUUAUUGGGCGUAAAGCGCGCGUAGGCGGUUUUUUAAGUCUGAUGUGAAAGCCCACGGCUCAACCGUGGAGGGUCAUUGGAAACUGGAAAACUUGAGUGCAGAAGAGGAAAGUGGAAUUCCAUGUGUAGCGGUGAAAUGCGCAGAGAUAUGGAGGAACACCAGUGGCGAAGGCGACUUUCUGGUCUGUAACUGACGCUGAUGUGCGAAAGCGUGGGGAUCAAACAGGAUUAGAUACCCUGGUAGUCCACGCCGUAAACGAUGAGUGCUAAGUG